rnacentral:tRNA from 2 species
GGGGAUGUAGCUCAGUGGUAGAGCGCAUGCUUUGCAUGUUUGAGGUCCUGGGUUCAAUUCCCAGCAUCUCCA